rnacentral:rRNA from 1 species
GAUCCUGGCUCAGGACGAACGCUGGCGGCGUGCCUAACACAUGCAAAUCGAACGGAACUGUUUUGAAAGAUUUCUUCGGAAUGAAUUUGAUUUAGUUUAGUGGCGGACGGGUGAGUAACGCGUGAGUAACCUGCCCUCAAGAGGGGGAUAACAUUCUGAAAAGAAUGCUAAUACCGCAUGAUAUAUCGGAACCACAUGGUUUUGAUAUCAAAGAUUUUAUCGCUUGAAGAUGGACUCGCGUCCGAUUAG